rnacentral:rRNA from 1 species
AGUGAACGCUGGCGGUAGACCUAACACAUGCAAGUCGAACGGCAGCACAGUAAGGGCUUGCUCUUACGGGUGGCGAGUGGCGGACGGGUGAGGAAUACAUCGGAAUCUACUUUUUCGUGGGGGAUAACGUAGGGAAACUUACGCUAAUACCGCAUACGACCUACGGGUGAAAGCAGGGGAUCUUUGGACCUUGCGCGAUUGAAUUAGCCGAUGUCGGAUUAGCUAGUUGGCGGGGUAAAGGCCCACCAAGGCGACGAUCCGGAGCUGGUCUGAGAGGAUGAUCAGCCACACUGGAACUGAGACACGGUCAAGACUCCUAAGGGAGGCAGCAGUGGGGAAUAUUGGACAAUGGGCGCAAGCCUGAUCCAGCCAUACCGCGUGGGUGAAGAAGGCCUUCGGGUUGUAAAGACCUUUUGUUGGGAAAGAAAAGCAGCAGGUUAAUACCCCGCUGUUCUGACGGUACCCAAAGAAUAAGCACCGGCUAACUUCGUG